rnacentral:rRNA from 1 species
CCUACGGGGUGCUGCAGUGAGGAAUAUUGGUCAAUGGACGCAAGUCUGAACCAGCCAUGCCGCGUGCAGGAAGACGGCUCUAUGAGUUGUAAACUGCUUUUGUACGAGGGUAAACGCAGAUACGCGUAUCUGUCUGAAAGUAUCGUACGAAUAAGGAUCGGCUAACUCCGUGCCAGCAGCCGCGGUAAUACGGAGGAUUCAAGCGUUAUCCGGAUUUAUUGGGUUUAAAGGGUGCGUAGGCGGUCGGAUAAGUUAGAGUUGAAAUCCCGAGGCUCAACUUCGGAAUUGCCUCUGAUACUGUUCGGCGAGAGAGUAGUUGCGGUAGGCGGAAUGUAUGGUGUAGCGGUGAAAUGCAUAGAGAUCAUACAGAACACCGAUUGCGAAGGCAGCUUACCAAACUACGACCGACGUUGAGGCACGAAAGCGUGGGGAGCAAACAGGAUUAGAUACCCGAGUAGUC